CCUUCUUUAAUAAUAUUAAUAUAUCCCGAAACACAUGAAUGCCUUUGGCCAACUACGGUACAGAUCAUAUGUGCAGAAAGCAGUAGAGAAAAAAGCAUAAUCCUUAUUUUCAAGUUACCACUUCCUUCUGCAGGUAUUCAGGGGUAUUUUAAGUUCCAACAUAUUAGUUGAGGUAAUGCUAGCUUCUUUAACAAAACCAAAAUGGUGCCAUGAAUCAAAACAAUAGAAAUUGUUUCUUACAUACCCAAAAUGGGUGACCCGAUUAGUGGAUACCACUCUUUAAGGUUUUAGCAAGCCAACUACUUGGCAUUUUAGGACUCUGUCAUUUUCAACCCAUGGCUCCAAGGUCACAGUGCUUAUUUGGAUCAUAAUAGCAAAAAAGGAAAAGCAUGUGGAGGCUCAUGAGUGGCUGGUUUUUAUUGGCUAGGCCCAGAUGUGGCUCAAUUUGUUUUUUUUUCCCUUUCCAUUAUGCAUUAUUAUUAGGAUGACCAUACAGUCUGACAUGUUUGUGACAGUUUUGUUUUAUGCUUACUACCCCCUUGUAAUCACUAGUAGUGUCUACUUUCGAUAAAUUAAAGACCUAAAUAAAUGGAGGGAUAUAUGUUGUUUAUGAGAUGGAAGACUUACUUCUUUUUUUUUUUUGAGAUGGAAUCUCGCUCAAUUGCCCAGGCUGGAGUGCAGUGGCGUGAUCUCGGCUCACUGCAAGCUCCGCCUCCCGGGUUCACACCAUUCUCCUGCCUCAGCCUCCUGAGUAGCUGGGACUACAGGCGACUGCCACCGUGCCCGGCUAAUUUUUUUUUUUUUUUGUAUUUUUAGUAGAGACGGGGUUUCACCAUGUUAGCCAGGAUGGUCUUGAUCUCCUGACCUUGUGAUCCUCCCGCCUCGGCCUCCCAAAGUGCUGGGAUUACAGGCGUGAGCCACUGCGCCUGGCCGGAAGACUUACUUUUUAAAAGAUGUCAGUUCAUCUCAAAGUGAUGUAUAGAGUCAGUGUAAUCCCAAUCAGAAUCCUGAGGGUUUUGUGAAAAUUGAGAAGCCAAUUCUAAAAUUUAUGUGGAAACACAAAAUGCCAAGAGUAGAAAAGGUACUUUUUUUUUUGACACAGAGUCUCACUUUGUUGCCUAGGCUGGAUCUCGACUCACUGCAGCCUCUGCCUCCCGGAUUCAGGUGAUUCUCCUGCUCCAGCCUCCCAAGUAGCUGGGAUUACAGGUGUGCGCCAGGACCCAAAAGAACCAAUUAUAAAGGAGAAGGCAGAUAAAAUUGGACUAUACUAAAAUGAGCUUUUGUUCAUCAAAAGAUAUAGAGAAUGAAAGGCAACUUAAGAGAUAUUUACAACGUCUAUAAUUUACAAAAGGCUUAUAUGAAGGAUAUGCAAAGAAUUCCUACAAAUCAAUUCAAGAAAAACAAAAUAGCCCCGUAGAAAAAUGGACAAGAGUCUUAAAUAGGGACUUCACCAAAGAGGAUAUUCAAAUGUUGAAUAAACAUGUGAAAAGUUGUUCAACUUCAUAAGUCUUCAGGGAAAUAUAAAUUAGAAACCACGUGAAAUGUGACUCCAUGUCCACCACAAUGCCUACAGUUGAAAAUUACUUACAGUACCAAGAGUUGGUGAGGAUUUGUAGAAAUGAGAAUUCUCAUACACUGGU
rnacentral:lncRNA from 10 species